rnacentral:rRNA from 1 species
GACGAACGCUGGCGGCGUGCUUAACACAUGCAAGUCGAACGGUGAAGCGCCUUCCUUUUUGGUGGGUGUGGAUGAGUGGCGAACGGGUGAGUAACACGUGAGUAACCUGCCCCCUUCUUCUGGAUAACCGCAUGAAAGUGUGGCUAAUACGGGAUAUUCUGGGUCUGUCGCAUGAUGGGUCUGGGAAAGAUAUUGUUUCGGUGGGGGAUGGGCUCGCGGCCUAUCAGCUUGUUGGUGGGGUGAUGGCCUACCAAGGCGGUGACGGGUAGCCGGCCUGAGAGGGUGGACGGUCACACUGGGACUGAGACACGGCCCAGACUCCUACGGGAGGCAGCAGUGGGGAAUAUUGCACAAUGGGCGCAAGCCUGAUGCAGCGACGCCGCGUGAGGGAUGGAGGCCUUCGGGUUGUGAACCUCUUUCGCCAGUGAAGCAGGCCUGCCUCGUUUGUGGGUGGGUUGACGGUAGCUGGAGAAGAAGCGCCGGCUAACUACAUG